UUUGGUUAAGUUAGAAAGGGCGCACGGUGGAUGCCUUGACACUAGGAGUCGAUGAAGGACGGGACUAACGCCGAUAUGCUUCGGGGAGCUGUAAGUAAGCUUUGAUCCGAAGAUUUCCGAAUGGGGAAACCCACCAUACGUAAUGGUAUGGUAUCCUUAUCUGAAUACAUAGGGUAAGGAAGACAGACCCAGGGAACUGAAACAUCUAAGUACCUGGAGGAAGAGAAAGCAAAUGCGAUUUCCUGAGUAGCGGCGAGCGAAACGGAACAUAGCCCAAACCAAGAGGCUUGCCUCUUGGGGUUGUAGGACAUUCUAUACGGAGUUACAAAGGAACGAGGUAGACGAAGCGACCUGGAAAGGUCCGUCGUAGAGGGUAACAACCCCGUAGUCGAAACUUCGUUCUCUCUUGAAUGUAUCCUGAGUACGGCGGAACACGUGAAAUUCCGUCGGAAUCUGGGAGGACCAUCUCCCAAGGCUAAAUACUCCCUAGUGAUCGAUAGUGAACCAGUACCGUGAGGGAAAGGUGAAAAGCACCCCGGAAGGGGAGUGAAAGAGAUCCUGAAACCGUGUGCCUACAAAUAGUCAGAGCCCGUUAACGGGUGAUGGCGUGCCUUUUGUAGAAUGAACCGGCGAGUUACGAUCCCGUGCGAGGUUAAGCUGAAGAGGCGGAGCCGCAGCGAAAGCGAGUCUGAAUAGGGCGUUUAGUACGUGGUCGUAGACCCGAAACCAGGUGAUCUACCCAUGUCCAGGGUGAAGUUCAGGUAACACUGAAUGGAGGCCCGAACCCACGCACGUUGAAAAGUGCGGGGAUGAGGUGUGGGUAGCGGAGAAAUUCCAAUCGAACCUGGAGAUAGCUGGUUCUCCCCGAAAUAGCUUUAGGGCUAGCCUUAAGUGUAAGAGUCUUGGAGGUAGAGCACUGAUUGGACUAGGGGUCCUCAUCGGAUUACCGAAUUCAGUCAAACUCCGAAUGCCAAUGACUUAUCCUUAGGAGUCAGACUGCGAGUGAUAAGAUCCGUAGUCAAAAGGGAAACAGCCCAGACCGCCAGCUAAGGUCCCAAAGUGUGUAUUAAGUGGAAAAGGAUGUGGAGUUGCUUAGACAACUAGGAUGUUGGCUUAGAAGCAGCCACCAUUUAAAGAGUGCGUAAUAGCUCACUAGUCGAGUGACUCUGCGCCGAAAAUGUACCGGGGCUAAAUACACCACCGAAGCUGCGGAUUGAUACCAAUGGUAUCAGUGGUAGGGGAGCGUUCUAAGGACAGUGAAGUCAGACCGGAAGGACUGGUGGAGUGCUUAGAAGUGAGAAUGCCGGUAUGAGUAGCGAAAGACGGGUGAGAAUCCCGUCCACCGAAUGCCUAAGGUUUCCUGAGGAAGGCUCGUCCGCUCAGGGUUAGUCAGGACCUAAGCCGAGGCCGACAGGCGUAGGCGAUGGACAACAGGUUGAUAUUCCUGUACCACCUCUUUAUCGUUUGAGCAAUGGAGGGACGCAGAAGGAUAGAAGAAGCGUGCGAUUGGUUGUGCACGUCCAAGCAGUUAGGCUGAUAAGUAGGCAAAUCCGCUUAUCGNNNNNNNNNNNNNNNNNNNNNNNNNNNNNNNNNNNNNNNNNNNNNNAAGGCUGAGCUGUGAUGGGGAAGCUCCUUAUGGAGCGAAGUCUUUGAUUCCCCGCUGCCAAGAAAAGCUUCUAGCGAGAUAAAAGGUGCCUGUACCGCAAACCGACACAGGUAGGCGAGGAGAGAAUCCUAAGGUGUGCGAGAGAACUCUGGUUAAGGAACUCGGCAAAAUGACCCCGUAACUUCGGGAGAAGGGGUGCUUUCUUAACGGAAAGCCGCAGUGAAUAGGCCCAAGCGACUGUUUAGCAAAAACACAGCUCUCUGCGAAGCCGUAAGGCGAAGUAUAGGGGGUGACACCUGCCCGGUGCUGGAAGGUUAAGGAGAGGGGUUAGCGUAAGCGAAGCUCUGAACUGAAGCCCCAGUAAACGGCGGCCGUAACUAUAACGGUCCUAAGGUAGCGAAAUUCCUUGUCGGGUAAGUUCCGACCCGCACGAAAGGUGUAACGAUUUGGGCACUGUCUCAACCAGAGACUCGGUGAAAUUAUAGUACCUGUGAAGAUGCAGGUUACCCGCGACAGGACGGAAAGACCCCGUGGAGCUUUACUGUAGCCUGAUAUUGAAUUUUGGUACAGUUUGUACAG
rnacentral:rRNA from 1 species